AACGCGAAGAACCUUACCUACUCUUGACAUCCAGAGAAGCCAGCGGAGACGCAGGUGUGCCUUCGGGAGCUCUGAGACAGGUGCUGCAUGGCUGUCGUCAGCUCGUGUUGUGAAAUGUUCGGUUAAGUCCGGCAACGAGCGCAACCCACAUCCUUAGUUGCCAGCAGUUCGGCUGGGCACUCUAGGGAAACUGCCCGUGAUAAGCGGGAGGAAGGUGUGGAUGACGUCAAGUCCUCAUGGCCCUUACGGGUUGGGCUACACACGUGCUACAAUGGCAGUGACAAUGGGUUAAUCCCCAAAAACUGUCUCAGUUCGGAUUGGGGUCUGCAACUCGACCCCAUGAAGUCGGAAUCGCUAGUAAUCGCGUAACAGCAUGACGCGGUGAAUACGUUCCCGGGUCUUGUACACACCG
rnacentral:rRNA from 1 species